CAGGCAGAGAUAGCUACUCCGUCUCCUCCCCCCUCUUAAUUCCCCUACCUCCCUCGUUCCUGCCUCGGGCCGGCGAGCCCCUGCUGCGUGCGUGACCAGGGACAAGCCCUUGAUUUUUGUUUGAGAAGGGAUGAGGCCUGCCAAUUUGUUUCUACGGAGAGCCCCUGCUCCUGUAGGCUACCAAUUUGACCAGGGACAAGCUCAGAGUGGAUCGAUCUAUUGUGGCCAAAAUACACUGCAGUGAUUUGUCCAUGGGAGUACAACUUCCUUGAGCUUGUUCUCUAAGUGUGCACUGGUAUUCAUCUCCUUCUGAUUGGACAAACUUCAGUUUUGAGGAAAUGUCGUUCAGAUGGAUUACUACGCAUGAGGGCUACAUCUAGCAUCCAAUUUCCCCAUGUUCUCCGGUGUUUACAGAGAGCCUACACUUAUGUCAAUAUUGUUUUGUCAACUACUGUAUCUAUCUUCUGUACAGAGAGCCGUAUAUGUUUCAGACCAAAAAUUUGCUUCUCUGUUCCCUUGUGAUUAUCAUGUCUAGGUCGUCAAAACGAUUACAGUAGAUGUAUAGAAUUUUCAUUGUUUGUAGCUACUAUGCUCAUAUUUAAGUUUGUUCAUUGCUUCUCAUGCUGAAAAAACUAGUCUGUAGGGACUUGGUGUUGUAAAACUAUUCUGUAGAGCGGCGUACAAGCUAGUCAUGUGGGCUGGGGCGGCUGACGACGCUGGUUGACCUUCUCCUGUGCGUGCAGGGCAACAUCGACGCUGGACCAGAUGGACGAGCUGCAGUGCCAAAGGCCAAACUGGGAGAGGAAUAGACGCUCCAGCAGCAGUGGUAUUCUCUAUGCAAUCAAACAAGAAGCAUUUAGUGUUGUUUCACCGAAUCAAAAGAGACCAAAAUCAGACCACAUAUGAUUGCAGAUUAUGCGUGUGUAUGUGGAGAAGAUAACUGGGUCGAUUGAUUUGAUGUUAAUUUGUUUGCUUCACUCUGUUUAUUUAUGGCUACGACGACGGCGGCAGCACACGAGAUGAGGCGCAGGUGGGCGCCGAGGGGGAGAGCCAGCAGCCGGCGCUGGAGUAUGAGGAGAGGAUCCACAAGUUCCCCGGCGUGAUGGUUGACGGGGAGAGACGACACUGCCGGUUUGCUGAAGUGGUAGGUUGCCAUUCAGGCACUCAGGGAGGUGCCAAGGAGAUGUUGGACCAAGGCGUGGAGGCACUACGAGCUGAAGAGCACAUAGCUGCAGAUGUUGGAGGCCGGGCCGGUGAGCCGAGGAUUGGAGGUAGCGCUGAUUGGUGUUUUUAUGGAGACAUAGGAUGCCACUGUUUGGUGUUUUUAUGCAUUUUACUUUGCUUGUAACUGUGUUUGCACUAGCUGGGAGUAAGUGACUUGGCAAGAAGUGUAGGUGUUUUAAUUGAAGGCAUGAAAAGCCAUGACAAUAUGUAUGCUCUUACAGGAUGUGCUCUAAUGCUGCUGGUUUAUUAUAAAUCUUGGAUUAGUAAUGAUGUGUAAUUCUGUUGGUUUA